rnacentral:rRNA from 1 species
AGCGUAGGCGGCUGAUUAAGUCAGCGGUGAAAGGUAGCAGCUUAACUGUUUUACAUGCCGUUGAUACUGGUUAGCUUGAGUUGACAGAAGGCAGAUAGAAUUCCUGAUGUAGCAGUGAAAUGCGUAGAUAUGCGGAGGAACACCGAUGGCGAAGGCAAUCCCCUGGGCCUGCACUGACGCUCAUGCACGAAAGCGUGGGGAGCAAACAGGAUUAGAUACCCCUGUA